AUCGCGGAUCAGAAUGCCGCGGUGAAUACGUUCCCGGGCCUUGUACACACCGCCCGUCACACCAUGGGAGUUGAUUGCACCAGAAGUGGUUAGCCUAACUUAGUGAGGGCGAUCACCACGGUGUGGUUGAUGACUGGGGUGAAGUCGUAACAAGGUAGCCGUAGGGGAACCUGCGGCUGGAUCACCUCCUUA
rnacentral:rRNA from 1 species